rnacentral:rRNA from 1 species
UACGUAGGCGGCUCAUCAAGUUGGAUGUGAAAUCCCACGGCUCAACCGUGGAACUGCGUCCAAAACUGAUGGGCUUGAGAACGGUAGGGGACAGUGGAACUCCAGGUGGAGCGGUGAAAUGCGUAGAGAUCUGGAGGAACACCGGUGGCGAAAGCGACUGUCUGGGCCGUUUCUGACGCUGAGGUACGAAAGCCAGGGUAGCGAACG